CAAGCCGAUAUUUAACCUUUAAGCAGACAUCGAGACAAAACAUUUUAAAGCUUAGGACUAUUUAGAAUCUGACUAAUAGUUCGGGGACUGAUGAAAUUAACCAUCUUAUUAAAACCCUACCUCAAUAAAUAGCUUCAUUUCCUUAGUUUACUCUUUGGCAGCUGCACCUUCUCCCCUCUCCUCUACCUAUCUGUACAAAAUGGUAAACAAUGGCAGUUUUUUGAAUAACACGGAUUGGCCUCUUAGCAACAAUUAGGGUUUUGAUGUGGGAACUACGAUUGGAUCUUCAACAGCUUGGGGGCGCAUCUGAAGGACAGAAUGACGAACGAACUUCCAUUGAUAACCGAUGAACUUAGUGUUGGGAGGAAGCAAGAUCGUUUCCUGGUUUCUUUUUCUUUUUGCUUCCGUCGGUGAGAUAGUUCGUCUCCUCUGUACUUUAGAUGCCUCCUUCAUGCUGUUUGUAGGUCUACUGAUCUCCAAGAACAAGUUCAUUGACUUCAUUUUAGCAGAAGCUGAGUCGAAGUGGAGAUUGUUUGAAAAGCACUAGAAGUUUAAACAAUUUGAUCUACAAUGAUUAGAGGAGUUGAAAAAAGAAGAAGCUAGAGAGCUAUGCAACCUUCAAUAAUAAUAUUGUAUGCACAUUAUACUAUAAACCCUUCUUAUUUAUAAAUCACACUAGUACUUUGGUUUGGUUGUGGUGAGUUUCGAAUAAGGAUUGAUGCCCAACACAUGCAUGUUCAACUUUUUUAGUUCUUUUAGUUUUCUUAAUGUAUUUAGAAGAAUCUUUGAUGGUCAUAUUCGAUACCCGUAUCACAGUAUGCGUCAAACAGACACUUUAAGCAAACUGUAGAAUCCAAACAACCAAGAAGUUUAAUGUCAGACCUAAUAACCUAAUGUUCAGGACUCUCCCUGCUUCUCCAAUUCUGCAUGGACUUUUGCAUUGAAAACUGUAUAUAUUGUUAGAGUCCUUCUAAGCACUAUAUAUAUACAAGCUUUUGCAUGUUUAUACGUUUGAAGCUACAAACUUGAAAAUGCAUGUCUUGAUCUCUGUUUUUUUGCCGUAUAUAUCCUACAUCAAUGCCUUGAGUCGUUCUUAGAGCCCUUAAGAAGAGGGGUAUGAUAUACAUGAAUACAAAUUUUUAUAUUUAUGCAUUGGAAAAUCAUGAUCAGAGCCAACUUAAUGGCAAUGACAAAAAAAAGUGAUCUGGAAAAUCAACCUUGAUUAAUUUGUGGUGCAUCUGUAUCUCUGAUGCAUCUCUGUCUUCUGCACUAUCAAGGGUUCUUAAUUUCUCAAGUUAUCAGUCUGGGGUUGCCUUUCUGCAUGGUUCUUCAUUUCGAUCGUUUAUUAAUAUUCUCGUACAUUUCAAGGGUUGGCAACUAGACUCUGAAAAAAUGAGGUAUCGAUGUAAUUUCUCUAUUACAAUAUAUAUAUCGCUUCGAACUUACAACACUUGCCUAUUUUUUGUUGUUUUAGCUCUCUGCAGCCUUUCCAUGGUUUUGUUCAGAAGAAUCUGCUACUAAUGAGCCUAUUACACCUGAUCAAGAUCAAGGAGAUUUGCCCCUAACAAUUGAAGAAUGAAAAUGCUAAUUUUGAUUAUUUGCCCAAACAACUUUGUGGAAGGGACAUCGCCAAAGUGGAUGUUUCAGAUUUCAAAGGCUUUAAAUGCGUUGAAAAACACUCAACGGGGGGAAUUCAGAAUCAGAAAAGGUUGUGGUAAACCUAUUGAGGGCAAAUUCUUCCUUGCUUUUGAAAAAUAUCUUUGAAAAGUGUUGUGAAAAAUUACUUUUGAAAAGUGUUGUGCAAAAUUAUUUUUGAGAAGUGUUUUUGAAAAGUUUAGUUUAAAGUUUGAGUGCUUAACAUUGCUGUCAAAAAGUAUUUUGAGAAAUAAAAGUUCAUUUUAGACAUGUUAUUAUUAAGUAAUAAAUAUAUAUUUAAAUAAUAUUUAAAUUAGUUAAUAUUAUUAUAUUUUAGUAAGAAUAUAAAAAUUAUUAUAACUUCUUGUUAAUAUUUUAACAUAUGAAAUAUUAUUUUAAUUAAUGAUUUUAACACAUUUGUAAUUAAGUAUCAAAAAAUUUAUGUUAUUAGAGGGUGAAAAGUAAUUAAGCACUAAAAGUAUUUUUGGAAGAGGAAAAUUUAAAAUUUUUAACUUAUCUCUCUCAGAAGAAUUUUUGAAAAGUAUUUUUGAAAAGUUAAAAAUUUCAGUUAAAAAGAAAAGUACUUUUGAAGUAAAAAGCUUUUUUUUAAAGCAAUGAAGAAUUGCCCUAAUUUGUCACAAAACAGUAUCUAUGUUCUGGUCCAUCCUAGCGUGCCAAUCUGGACUGCAUUCGAUAGGCGUAAAAAGCUUGGCUUUGAAGUCGAAUUGCUGAUAUUCUUUUAGAGAAAAACUGUUAUGCCCUUUUUGCUUUUGCAGAUUAUAUCAAAUGAGACCAAGAAAAAAGGGAUUCUGAAACCAGGUGUGGCUAAGCUCAAGGUUUUGAUCAAAGGUGCAAUACGCUUGAGCUUGAUUGGCAUUUCCCAAAAAAAACGAGCUUGUUUAUUAGUAGGGUAUAAUCUAGGUCGAGUUAAAAGGGGUUAGAAGUUAAAGUUUGAGCUUGAUUUAACACCCCCCCCCCUUUGAAACCGUGGUUAAAGCUUCUCCCCUUCCUCAACUUUACUAAAAACUCAUACUUUAUAUAAAAUUUAAGCUUCUUUCAACUUUUGUUCUAGAAAAUGGACGCUUUGAUUUUACGUCCACUCUGCCCUCGAGUUUACUUGCUAGCUAGCUUCAAGUCGUGUAUAUAAAGGUGAAUGUAUUUGAGACCUCUCUUUAUUAUAGGAAUUUAAUUAAACUAGUCCUUUUAUUAUUCAA